GGAUCGUAAAACUCUGUUGUCAGGGAAGAACAAGUACGGUAGUAACUGCCCGUACCUUGACGGUACCUGGCCAGAAAGCCACGGCUAACUACGUGCCAGCAGCCGCGGUAAUACGUAGGUGGCAAGCGUUGUCCGGAAUUAUUGGGCGUAAAGCGCGCGCAGGCGGCCUUUUAAGUCUGAUGUGAAAGCCCACGGCUCAACCGUGGAGGGUCAUUGGAAACUGGAAGGCUUGAGUGCAGAAGAGAAGAGCGGAAUUCCACGUGUAGCGGUGAAAUGCGUAGAGAUGUGGAGGAACACCAGUGGCGAAGGCGGCUCUUUGGUCUGUAACUGACGCUGAGGCGCGAAAGCGUGGGGAGCGAACAGGAUUAGAUACCCUGGUAGUCCACGCCGUAAACGAUGAGUGCUAAGUGUUGGGGGGUUUCCGCCCCUCAGUGCUGCAGCUAACGCAUUAAGCACUCCGCCUGGGGAGUACGGCCGCAAGGCUGAAACUCAAAGGAAUUGACGGGGGCCCGCACAAGCGGUGGAGCAUGUGGUUUAAUUCGAAGCAACGCGAAGAACCUUACCAGGUCUUGACAUCCCGCUGACCGGUCUGGAGACAGAUCUUCCCCUUCGGGGGCAGCGGUGACAGGUGGUGCAUGGUUGUCGUCAUCUCGUGUCGUGAGAUGUUGGGUUAAGUCCCGCAACGAGCGCAACCCUUG
rnacentral:rRNA from 1 species